rnacentral:rRNA from 1 species
UGCCUAACACAUGCAAGUCGAACGCGAAAGUCCCGCAAGGGAUUAGUAGAGUGGCAAACGGGUGAGUAACGCGUGGGUGACCUGCCUUCGAGCGGGGGAUAACGUUCCGAAAGGGACGCUAAUACCGCAUAACAUUCCGUUUUUGAAGAGAUGGAAAUCAAAGCUGGGGAUCGCAAGACCUGGCACUCGAAGAGGGGCCCGCGUCCGAUUAGCUAGUUGGUGAGGUAACGGCUCACCAAGGCAACGAUCGGUAUCCGGCCUGAGAGGGCGGACGGACACACUGGGACUGAGACACGGCCCAGACUCCUACGGGAGGCAGCAGUGGGGAAUUGUUCGCAAUGGGCGCAAGCCUGACGACGCAACGCCGCGUGGAGGAUGAAGAUUUUCGGAUCGUAAACUCC